UGGGCUAGGGACGUCAGAUUCGCUGUUAACAGAAGCCAAACGCGAUUAGGCGGCUCGGUUGUGGUUUUCGGAUAAAAUUUCGAGAAGUUGUCGUUAAGUGAUAAGACGGACGUAACUGUUGUAGUUUUGUGAUAUUUUCUCUUUUUCUUUCUUUUUUGUUCGAUGACGGGAGGAAAGGGAGACGGAGCAGCUGCUAGCGUGACAAGAUUACCGAUUUAUUUGUGAACUUAAGAUUAAGGACGGACGUCCUAUAUUUAAUCGUAUAUCCAACGACAAGGACGCAGUGUGAUGUUUGGUUUGUCGCAAAUACAACUCUCAUUUUGCCAACUAAGAGUAUUUCACAAAAAUAUGUGAGAGGCGUGAUAAAUCAUAUUGGCAACCAAAAGUUUAGCAAUGAAGUAAACAACAACCAAAUAACCAUUAGCCUGCUGCCAAAUUUUUGGUUGGGGGCACAAACCAAACAGCAGCGGCUGUACUGGCACUGCUACGUCGAGGUCGGCCGGCCGCCGGGGACGUUGCUAGCUCUUGGAGGGCUGCUCCUCUGCUCUGUCUUCGUGCUCCAAGGUAUCCCAAAGAGGCCACCUACCUAUACGCGGACGAAGCAGCGGAAGUAUAUAUGAUGUUGUACACACGUCCACGUCUCGUGGCAAGUGGCAUCUGCAAAAUUGAAUUUUCGUUCGCCAGGCUUCUGCACCGUCCGAUUUCCCUCUAAACUCACGCUGGCCAUGGGAUCGCGCGCGCUCGUCGGCAAUACGAGGGGACGCGUGGCGAUACGCUAUUUGAACUUAUAAUGCUA
rnacentral:lncRNA from 1 species